CAGCAGCCGCGGGAAUACGAAGGGUGCAAGCGUUGUUCGGAAUUACUGGGCGUAAAGCGCACGUAGGCGGAUAUUUAAGUCAGGGGUGAAAUCCCAGAGCUCAACUCUGGAACUGCCUUUGAUACUGGGUAUCUUGAGUAUGGAAGAGGUGAGUGGAAUUCCGAGUGUAGAGGUGAAAUUCGUAGAUAUUCGGAGGAACACCAGUGGCGAAGGCGGCUCACUGGUCCAUUACUGACGCUGAGGUGCGAAAGCGUGGGGAGCAAACAGGAUUAGAUACCCGCGUAGUCCCUGUCUCUUAUAC
rnacentral:rRNA from 1 species